GAAAACCGUCAAUUCUGAAAUUGAAGAGAGGGUUUUCGUCGACUUCAAUUGAUCCUACACGGGUCACUCCAAUUUCAUGCUUAUUUAGGAUCUUUGUUAAAUCAUAAGAGGGCAACCUUCAAAAGCUUUUGUGGAUGUAUGAUGAAUAAUGAACAUGUACAUAACUAUGAAAGGACAUCCUAUUACCAGGUAUUUCUUUUUGGUUUUACUUUUUUGGAUAAGUUCUUUUACCAGGUAUCUUCAGGGCUUUUAAUAUGAUUUUUCGGUCAUUUACUGGCCAAAAAGAACUGAAAAGCAAAAGAAAAAAUAAAAAGAAGAAAAGAAACGAGAAAGUUUUGUGAUGCCAUUCUUGAAAAUAAAAUUUACAUAAUUAUAAACUAGAUAAAAAGUAUUGUAAGUUACAGUUUUUUAACAUUGAAAAUAUCUCAAAAAAUAUUUGAAUUUUUUUGGGUCAAAUAGAAGUUGCACCCUCCGAAUAGUAACAGUGUCAUAUAGUAUUUUUCUUGGUCUCGCUUGCAGGGCUUUGAUCUAGUGGUAAGAGCACAAUGUGUGAUGUGUGGGUUUAGUUUCGAACUGUAUGCUAACGACCCUAGUGGAUUUCUUAGUUAUAAUUUUUUUUAUUAAUUUGCUAUUUUAGAAUUAUACUAUCAAAUAGAAAGAGGUUGAUUACUUAUAAGCGGAACAACGAAUCUCGUAUACUCCUAUGCUAAAAUUGAAUACCCUAAAUUCCUCUCUAGUUUAUCUGCAAGUUAUACCCGAAUUCCUUAGGAGCAAAGAUUUGAAAUAUUACAUAACUGAAUAAGUGAUAUGUGACAAUUUUACACAUCUCAAAGGAACUUUUUCUCUUUUCCAUUGCUGGUUUCCUUUUUCCUCUGUUCCGUUACUGAGAAACCAAAAUGAAUAUGUUGCCUACAAAUCCUAAAAAAUAUAUCUGAACUCCUUUUACUAUAACGUAAAGUAAAUCAAACAAAAAACAUAUUUUGCUGUACUGAUAAAAAAGAAUAUAACAUCAGAAUUCGAGAUAAAGAGAGUAGCCAUAUGCUGUUCUGCCUAAUAUUUGAAUGAAAUUACCCCAUUUAGCAGUUAAAUACAUCAAUUUGGCAAUGCAAAAUAUAGAAAUUUCUCUCUGUGCUUCAGCGAUAAACAGCGAGAAGCACUUUAAACGGAGUAGUUUCAGGUAUUUAUGAAGCUGAGAGCGUCUGAGUAUAGAACCAGCAGUCUCCACCUCUUGAAGGACGAGGAAAGCGACUGAUUCACAAAGGAGUUUUUGGUGACAAAUGAUGCCAUAUCGUGCUCGUUCGUUUCAGUCUGCUAUCAAUCCAUUUGAUCAAACAAAUAGAAACAGUCAAGUGAUGCUUCUCUAUUACUGUGCUUGGCCGGCACUAUGGAUUUCUCUAACGGUUUAUGAAGAAACAUAUGGCAUUUUCAGUUCAAUGUGCACAACUGUGUGAAUCUGCCAGCGGGUUAACAUUGCUAGUUCAGCAUCAUAGACAACCUUUAGUUUUCACUCAUUAUACUAUUUUGCAGGUAUAGGCAUCUUUUUUUCCAUAUAAUUUUGGCAUUUUUCUUUGGGUGGGUUUCCACUAGGAAUGAGCGUCUUGCUCUCCAAUUCCUAUUCUUUAUUACUUGUAUUGAAUUUAUUUGUUCCAAACGCGAAGAGUCAUUCUUUUGAUUUAGUAGUGCAACUCUUGGACAUCGUUGUUACUGUAUUCAUGCUCUUGCAUUGGAAACAUGACCAUCUUCUUGAAACUCUAUUUUUGUGUUGUUACACUAGAGUUAGGUUUGUUUUUCUUAAUCUUGAAAAAUAUGAAUCUUCUCUUGAAUAAUUGCUUCCAGC
rnacentral:lncRNA from 1 species